rnacentral:sRNA from 1 species
GGUUUUAACCCAGUUAACUAAGGUUAGCAUGGAUUUCGACCAUUCGAAAGAAUGUGUUGAACACAAAUAAAUUUUGGACGAGCAUCUUCGGGGGUUAACCGUUGAAGCGAU